ACCUGGCUGCUGCUCUGAGGGACAGGCAGACAUGGGAUGAAAGAAAGCACAGCCAAGAACCUGCAGAUCUGACAAUAAGCAUUCGUGCCUGCCCUCUUCUGUUUAAUACCCCCUCGGGAAAUGAAUGAGUGGUACUCAGCUUUCCUGACUUUAAUCAAGCUUCCACAGAACAAGCCGAGAAUGUGAGACAUUGCGGGGAAGGAAAGAGAAAAUGCAAAAGAAGUGUAAGUGGAAUUGAAAACCCCUUCCAGCUUCUGUUAUGUCACUUCUCAUGGAAGCCUUUGUUACGACUUCACUAAGUUAGGUAAUGUGACAGUUGUCUGCUAUUUUUCCCAAUAAUGGUGGUCUUUUAGGCUAUGUUUUGCAGUGAAGGAGGUGGACUUGAGGAGUGCUGACUCUGGAUGUGACUCCAUGUCAAACCAGUAUUUUAGGCAAGAAUGAUUUAUAUUGGAGACUCCUUUAUUUGGAGCACCCUCACAUCCAACACGCUGACACAGAGGGGGAAAAAGAGGACCUAGCAAAGGCAACUAUUCGAUAUUUCGUGUGGAAGACAUUCAGGAUAAAUUCAUUAGAUGAUGAAAAGAUCGCCACACAAGGAAAGAAAAACAAGAGACAGUCAUGAUUAAAACCCUCAGCUUCGUGGUGAGAGCUCCUUGGCGAAGGCAGCUAUUUUGGAGCCACCUGC
rnacentral:lncRNA from 1 species